GACGAUGCUCAGGUGGUGUGUCAACAACUUGGCUGUGGUCCAGCUUUGAAAGCAUUCAAAGAAGCAGAGUUUGGUCAGGGGACUGGACCGAUAUGGCUCAAUGAAGUGAAGUGCAAAGGGAAUGAGUCUUCCUUGUGGGAUUGUCCUGCCAGACGCUGGGGCCAUAGUGAGUGUGGGCACAAGGAAGACGCUGCAGUGAAUUGCACAGAUAUUUCAGUGCAGAAAACCCCACAAAAAGCCACAACAGAAAAUUCCCAUGAGUCAGCUGAUUUCAGUGCUGCUGAACUAAUUUCUGUGUCUAAAUUUCUUCCUAUUUCUGGAAUGGAAAAGGAGGCCAUUCUGAGCCACACUGAAAAGGAAAAUGGGAAUUUAUAACCCAGUGAGUUCAGCCUUUAAGAUACCUUGAUGAAGACCUGGACUAUUGAAUGGAGCAGAAAUUCACCUCUCUCACUGACUAUUACAGUUGCAUUUUUAUGGAGUUCUUCUUCUCCUAGGAUUCCUAAGACUGCUGCUGAAUUUAUAAAAAUUAAGUUUGUGAAUGUGACUACUUAGUGGUGUAUAUGAGACUUUCAAGGGAAUUAAAUAAAUAAAUAAGAAUGUUAUUGA
rnacentral:lncRNA from 1 species